CCUUAAGAAGACUAUAUAACGGGAACCUAAACCUUAGAGCAAGGGAUCGACACUUCAAGACUUAGAGAUUAGAGCUAGGCGGCUAGAACUAGGGUUCUUACUCAAAACUGUUGUAGUUCCGGAUCUUUGAUCUAAUAAAACAUCUCUUCAAGUCUAUUUCUCUCAAACUCAUACGAAAUCAAUACGAAUACUAGCCUUGUCCAUCGUUCCGUGGUACUCACAAAGAUCC
rnacentral:lncRNA from 1 species